AUUGAACGCUGGCGGCAGGCCUAACACAUGCAAGUCGAGCGGAUGAAGGGAGCUUGCUCCUGGAUUCAGCGGCGGACGGGUGAGUAAUGCCUAGGAAUCUGCCUGGUAGUGGGGGAUAACGUCCGGAAACGGGCGCUAAUACCGCAUACGUCCUGAGGGAGAAAGUGGGGGAUCUUCGGACCUCACGCUAUCAGAUGAGCCUAGGUCGGAUUAGCUAGUUGGUGGGGUAAAGGCCUACCAAGGCGACGAUCCGUAACUGGUCUGAGAGGAUGAUCAGUCACACUGGAACUGAGACACGGUCCAGACUCCUACGGGAGGCAGCAGUGGGGAAAAUUGGACAAUGGGCGAAAGCCUGAUCCGGCCAUGCCGCGUGUGUGAAGAAGGUCUUCGGAUUGUAAAGCACUUUAAGUUGGGAGGAAGGGCAGUAAGUUAAUACCUUGCUGUUUUGACGUUACCAACAGAAUAAGCACCGGCUAACUUCGUG
rnacentral:rRNA from 1 species